GCGGGAGUUGCCAAGCCUGGCCAAAGGCGCAGGGCUUAGGACCCUGUCUCUUAGGGGUUCGUGGGUUCAAAUCCCACUUCCCGCACCA
rnacentral:tRNA from 1 species